UAUAGUAUAGUAAUAUGAUCAGAAUCUGUAAUAUUAAUCCUAAUAUAAGAGUUUAAAUCAUAAUCCGGGGAUUAAAGUACAGAUAUGUGUUUUAAACAAGUUUUAAACUCUUAAACACACUACUGUGUUUAUUAAUUUAUACAGUUUACUCCGGAGUGUAGUAUUAUUAUUGAGAUGUGACAUCCUGCCUGUCUGUCUGCCUGUCUGUCUGUGUACCUAUGUAUCUGUCUGUAUAUAUAAUAAUGUAUGAGGUUAAUAUGGUAUCGUUAUGUGGUUAAUGCAGUGGUUCUGUAUGUUUCAGGGUUAAUAAGGUAUAGUGAGAUGGUUAACAGCGUGGUUCUGUGUGUUGGUGUGUUUCAGGGUUAAUAAGGUAUUGUUAGAUGGUUAACAGCGUGGUUCUGUGUGUUGGUGUGUUUCGGGAGUUAAUAAGGUAUUGUUAGAUGGUUAACAGCGUGGUUCUGUGUGUUGGUGUGUUUCGGGGGUUAAUAAGGUAUUGUUAGAUAGUUAACAGCGUGGUUUUGUGUGUUGGUGUGUUUCAGGGUCAAUAAGGUAUAGUUAGAUGGUUAACAGCUUGGUUCUGUGUGUUGGUGUGUUUCGGGGGUUAAUAAGGUAUAGUUAGAUGGUUAACAGCUUGGUUCUGUGUGUUGGUGUGUUUCGGGGGUUAAUAAGGUAUUGUUAGAUAGUUAACAGCGUGGUUUUGUGUGUUGGUGUGUUUCAGGGUUAAUAAGGUAUAGUUAGAUGGUUAACAGCGUGGUUCUGUGUGUUGGUGUGUUUCGGGGGUUAAUAAGGUAUACGUAGUUAGAUGAUUAAUUGUGUGGUUCUGUGUGUUGGUGUGUUUCGGGGGUUAAUAAGGUAUUGUUAGAUGGUUAACUGUGUGGUUCUGUGUGUUGGUGUGUUUCGGGGGUUAAUAAGGUAUUGUUAGAUAGUUAACAGCGUGGUUUUGUAUGUUGGUGUGUUUCAGGGUUAAUAAGGUAUAGUUAGAUGGUUAACAGCGUGGUUCUGUGUGUUGGUGUGUUUCGGGGGUUAAUAAGGUAUUGUUAGAUGGUUAACUGUGUGGUUCUGUGUGUUGGUGUGUUUCGGGGGUUAAUAAGGUAUUGUUAGAUAGUUAACAGCGUGGUUUUGUAUGUUGGUGUGUUUCAGGGUUAAUAAGGUAUAGUUAGAUGGUUAACAGCGUGGUUCUGUGUGUUGGUGUGUUUCGGGGUUAAUAAGGUAUAGUUAGAUAGUUAACAGCGUGGUUUUGUGUGUUGGUGUGUUUCAGGGUUAAUAAGGUAUAGUUAGAUGGUUAACAGCGUGGUUCUGUGUGUUGGUGUGUUUCGGGGGUUAAUAAGGUAUGGUUAGAUGGUUAAUGGUGUGGUUCUGUGUGUUGGUGUGUUUCAGGGGGUUAAUAAGGUAUUGUUAGAUGGUUAACAGUGUGCUUCUGUGUGUUGGUGUGUUUCAGGGUUAAUAAGGUAUAGUUAGAUAGUUAACAGCGUG